AUGUAUAAUUUAUUUACCAUCUCCACCAGGAGGAAAAACACCACCAGUAAAACCAACCACCACUAAAAUACCAACAGCAGAAACAUCCAGGAGAUCUUCAACACCGACACCAGCUCCCACCACCUCUCAGGAACCACGUUCAGGGCCAACCUACAGAAGCACAUCAGCAGCAGUAACAUCUACCACACCUACUGAAGAUCAUUUCAGUUUAUCUGUCGUCUUCAUCAUCAUCAUCAUCACUUCGUCUUCGUAAUUCUUCUUCUGAUUGGUGGAUUUUCCACAUUCUUCUACAUACUGAGACGCAACCGAGCGCUAAGUACUGUUCACACACACUAUAACAGUUUUAUUAAAUAUGGCAGUACUUAAGUUUAUCAUUGU
rnacentral:lncRNA from 1 species